CAACAGAUGAGCUAUCUAGAUCUCAUAUGGAUGUAUAUUUAUAAUAUCAGGAAGAUGGUUACAAGAGUACAUGUGAUAUGCAGUUAUUCAUUUAUAUAAUUGAUCUUGUCCUUUGCCUUUUUUUUCAAAAAUAAAAUAAAAUUUAAAUGUGAUAUGCAGUUAUUCGUUUAUAUAAUUGGAAGCACACUAUCCAAACAUAGUACAAAAUAUUGGUUGUUAUGGUAAUUGAGUGAUCAAAUAUCCACCAGUUUGUGAUGUUCCUCUUAUGCUAGAUACAGACAAUAGCAGUGUUCGAUAGUUAUGGUAUCAUUAUAACUAUACGGAAAUGUUAGAUCUAAAAUUUCUUAUACAUAGUAGAAUAGGUAUGCAAGAAAUCUUAAUUUGUGACUAUCAUUAGCCACUGAAUGCAUAUACUUUCACAUAAACCAAAUGAGAAUUCUUCUCUAAAAAUCGAAAUUUUUUUAAGGCAUGAAACUCAACAAAAAUUAAACUAGAAUUCUAAAAAUCAAUAGUAUCAGCAAGAGAAAAGAAAACAUAGAAAACGACUUCUAGAAUACGGCAGUUAAGGCCAGUUCUUAUGACUUUUGGGGAGUCCUGAGCUAUCAUUUAAACUCCUAUAUUUUAACACUCCACACUAGUCAAAACACCACACAAUCCUAGACUCUACGUACCAUGAGCAUACAUGUGUUUGCUACCCCUUGGAUCAUGUUUACGAUCACUUAAGUAGGACCUGCAGCAUACUCAUACAUCUCAUACAUGAUAAACCAAUCUGAUCCGAUUUGAAUCCAAACUAUUGGCCAAUGAUGGCCCAUUGGUUGAGAAUUCUAACAAGUAAUUGUAACUAGUGGGUUGUGGCAGGUCCUGUGAGAGAACGGAAGGGAGAGUGUGAGGUUUGGGAUUGGUUGUACUUGUGAAGUAAGGCAUGUAGUGUGAUUGAGAGAGUAGUUUCUGUAAGUGGGUUAGGGUGAAAUGCAGUUGUAACUGUGGGAUUCCUGGUGAUGCCAACGGAUGAGAAUGGUGGGCUGGGGGCAUGGUUUCCAAAAUAAGGUACUUGGUUGGAUCAUGGUUUCUUAAAUAAGGUGGUCAAGGGCUGUUUGGAUGCAAUUUUCCCGAAAGGUGAUGCAAGGAUGAGGGUUGGGGGUGUGGUUUCCAAGGAAGUUUGGUGUGUCAUCUUUUCCUAAAGAAGGGAAAAAAAUCCAAAUAACAGAAAAAUGAAAACCACAGGAAUCAAUCAGCUCAAAAUACAAGUACCCAUAUACAAACUCUAGUCAAUAUAUACAAUAUAUGUACACAUACACAUACAUACCAAAAGCAAAAACAACAAAAUUGGUUGAAGAAUGGAGUUUAUGGAUACAUAUAUGUACCCAUCAUAUAUACAUAAAUGUGAAAGCAACGCAGGAAACAGGGUCUUGUUAAGAAUGGUGUAUUAUAACCCAUACGUAUGCAUACACAUCACACAUACAUACAUACAUACAUGCCAAAAACAAAAAUAAGAAACUGGGUUUGGUGAAUAAUGAUGUUUUACACAUACAUACAUGCACAUAUCAUUCAUAGUUACAUAAUAAGUUAUUUAUAAAAAUAUCGAUGGAUUAUUGCGCAGGCAUAUGGCUCAUGAUAUAACCUAGAUGUGGCACUGAUAUGUACACACAUGGGGAAAGCUAAUCUACCCAAUUUCACUAGCAGUCUGUCAUUUUUUUUAUUGCACUGAUACUGCACUUUAAUCUGCUUCUAUUCAUCCCUUAGUAUUCACUUGGGUGUUCCUUUUAUUCAAAGCAAGUCCUCUGAUCUGACUCUGUUCUUCAUUUGGGUGGCCUGUUGAUCUCUUCAUCCCUUAGUAUUCACAUUCUGUUUAUCUCUCUUCAUUUGUUCACUAAUUUGCACAUCAU